AGGUUUCCGAAUCCGUGCUGAGAUUUCGUCAGAAACCAACUCAUUGGGGCUGAUUAGACUUGCAAGAUAAGUGAAGUU
rfam:Schistosoma haematobium scaffold214_28, whole genome shotgun sequence.